rnacentral:lncRNA from 1 species
GGUUUUGGUUGCAUGAGUGAUUUGUGGGCGAUGUUAGGAGAGUAAACCUGAAGAGCAGAUUUCCCUUAGGCAGCUACCCCAGAGUAUGGAAAUGAACUUGAAACUUCAAGAUACAAAUAUGAAAGGUGAAAUGCAGCUCUCGACCAUCAUUUUAUAGACAAAUAUUAUACCUCCUUGAAAAUAUUUAUAAAAAUAAUGCCAUUUAUUUAAGGUAAUUAAUCUGGAGUCCUCGGCCACCCAGUAAUCGUUUAGCAGCCUCACCUUUCCUGUAAUGAGGGUGAUGACAGUGUGUCACCUGGAAGUGAAAGGGGUCCACGGCUUUUUCCACACCAAGACCUUCUUCUAAUCUCUUUCUAAGGGCUUACUCUUGACAUUUAAAAAGGGAUCAAAGGGAGGCCUUUUUUGUUUAAAAUGCACUGCUUCCCAACAGUCAGUGGCGGAGAAAAAGGUUGGUUGUAGGAUCAGAUGAGAAAACAGAGUUCAGGAAUGCUGACCCCCAUCUGAAGUGUUGGACUUACCCUGAUGCUCUAACUCGUAUUUUUGAAUCCCUUUUACCACUUACUCUUUAGCUAGUAAGGUCAAUGUAAUAAGUUAUAUCCAUCAUUGCAAUGGUGCGCUUCCUAUGUUUGUAUGUUAAUUGUGUAUGUGCAUGUUUAAGCUGUGGGGAUUUUUUGUUUGAAAGAAUGUGUGCUGUUUAGAGAAGAGGGGGCUUGUCCUUGGGUGAGAUGGAGAUUGUAGUUUGUGUUGCAUCCAGGCGGGUGGACUGAGGAGGGUAAAAAGACAGUCCUUCAUUCUGCCUGUGAGUGUGAUGGCAAUUAACAUGUUUGUCUGUAAAAACAAGAAGUAGUCUCUGUGCUAUGGAGAACUGAUUAGAGCCCUGCAUGCUCAGAGUAAAAAGCAGAUGGGGUGAGGGGGGUAGGGAGGCCCAAGGCACAACCAGCUCCAUCACGUUACAUCCUGGCCCCGAAUAUUA